AUCACUCCACGCAUGUCUGUAAAAAUCUCACCGCUGUUGAUCCUCUCGCGAGCUCGGCUUCCAGCUGUGUCCGGUGUUGUCUUCAGCCGCCGCACCUGAAGCAACUCGCCUCUCUGUUCUUCCACGCAGCACCAGACGCACGACUCUCCUCUGUCUUCUCUGUGCCGCCUCCUCGCCGAGCUGCGCGCUGCCAACCGCGCCGGUGAACUCGCCCGGUCCGGCGCACUGCUCGUCUCGGCUCCUUUGGAAAUCCUUCGCGAACGUCUCGUCAAGUUGUCAGGCCUGUCUUCGAGUUUGGUGGAGUCCCAAGCUUGCGCGCCGUCGGCCUCUACCUCCUGUGUCCGAUCGUCGUCGCCCCUGCUCACUUCAUCCAACUGCUCCCUUCAUCUCGGCCGAGCUCGACGUCCAGCAAGCCGCCUGCUCGUGUUCCAUCUCUUCAACCAUCAGCUUCCGUGGAACACACUGGUAGGGGUUCUAAUCCCUGAAAUUGAUGUGGGGUGUGUGUUUAAGCGUGUAUGGGGGUGCUCUCUGUGCAUCGGAUUAGAGGUUAGAUGGUUGCCGAUAGCUGUUGUCGUCUGGAUUUGGCCGGCGGGGAAAAGGGAUCACCCUGUGCAUCACGUUGAAGAAGAAGGGGCUCUUUGUGUGAAAAAGAGAAGUCUAGGGGGUUUUGUUGAAAAGAGUUUUAGAGUUUUCUUUUAUUUCAGGAUUUGUACUAGAAUUAGAAGUGUUGUAGGAAAUUGUAGGAAAAUGCUAAAAAUACGAAACCAGUUUUUUUAGUUCACAAGAAUGAGUACUUAUUGAUAAAAAUAUUGGUUAGGUAAAAACUAUGAUUUUUAUGUGUCGUUUCUUUUUUAACAUAGGUUACUAAUGCUCAUUUAAUUUCCUGUAAUAAAUAUAUCUCCUAAAAUCCUGAAAAAUUUUAUGGGUAAUAUUUAGGCUUAGAUUAGCUUACAGAAAAAAGUUUGAUUCAAAUUGGAGUAUGUUAAGUUAGAUAACUAAUUUAAGAUUUUUAAAAAAUGCCUUUUAAAGAAAAUAUUUAAGUAAUUAAGAAAAAUCGAAUAGUAGUUUAAACUGUUUGUAGUGUUGAGUGAAGUCCAUGGACCACUAACACCUAGGUUGGCCCAUGACGUGUGUAAUUAUUUUCAAGGAUCUUACGUCCUUCACUUAGCAACUAGAAUUUAUGGCGGUAACAUAGUGCAAUUGUACCGGGUAAGGAUAGUAUGCUUGGGGUUUUAUCGUUUAAAUUCUUUUUAUUGCAUCUGUGUCCAUUUCAUCGUCACAUCAUGAUCAUAGCAUGCAUCUUUACUGUACGUGUAGAUCACGUUGUCUGUUGAUCAAUCACUUGGUGGAGUAAUUUUCUAGAGACUGGUCAUCACCCUGAAGACUCGUGACAUUUUAUUUUCUUAGUCUUCGGCUCUUCUCUGCAACAAAGGCAAGUCCCGGUGCAUCCACCACUUUCCUUGUUGUUUACAAAACUUUUAUCACUUGAUAUGAUGCAUUAGGUGAUAGGAGUUGCGUGAUCAAACAAUUGAUGCAUUACCAACCUUGAGAAUUUGAAUAAUCAUUCCUUGAUACCUGUUUUAUGAAAAACUAGUGCUGCUUAGCCCUACUUAAAGUGAUAAGAUUUUUAUUUGAAAUUUAUUUUGAUUACUGGUUAUUGUUAUGUAUGAAUGAAUUUGAGUUAGAUAAUUAAUAUGAGAUUGGGCGGGUGGCUUGCAUCGUGAAAUGAGUCGGUGUAGUGCUCCGCCUGUUCGAUGUAGGCCUGAUGAGGUGAGACUUUGCAACUAGCCACAUGCUCCGGUAAGCCUGAACUCGGCUAUUCUCCGCGCACGGGGCGUGGGAGAUGGUGGGAGUAGCGUGUACCAUCCUCGCUAGAGGCUGGAUGGAGGAGUACUAUGCUCCCGGUUAGCGCGGACCGGUUCACGUUGUGGAGGAUCUGUGGGAACGGUUGACAUAUGCAAAGGUUAAGUGCUCCAUAUGUCGUGUGGUUAGGAAUCCCCAGCUGGGUAUAAUCGGUUCGAAUCGUCAUUGCUCCUCGGUUAUGGAGACUCGACUCACUGACCACUCAUCGUAGUUAAUAAGUGAAACAUGAAUUGGCUAAAAGAAAGCUAGAUAGAACAAGUGAAUGCUCUAGAUUAGGAAAAUCUAGAAUCAGGUAAGAACUUAAAUUGAUAAUUAAAAGAUGGCUUAAGGAUCCACUAUUAGUAAGCGUUUCUGCAAAAUAAGUCCUUGAUUAUUGCUUAGCCUUACCUUGAUUCCUAAUCAGCCAGCAUAUCCUUGAGAGUCUUUUUCCUUAGUCGGGUAAGACUUGCGAAAGUACACUUCGUACUCAGGGUUUUCGAACCCAUAUUGUUGCAGGUACUAGAUUUGUGCUGCUAUUUAUGGUGCUAAGUGCCGGUGGGCUCGGCCUCCCUAUAUAAGUAUAUCACAUCUUUAUCUUCUUUUUGAGGAUUGUCACUUAUGCUAGCAUGUAAUCCAAACUUACAAAUAUUUUAUAACAUUUCAAAGUAUAAUAUUUUAAUCACAUUUGUAAUCACUCUGAUAAUGUAAACUUAUUGUAAUUUGAAAUUUUGUAAUAAAAAUUCCGCUGCAAAAACUUUGGUAUGUGAUUUGUGUUUACUUAAUCUAGCGAUCUUGGUAGUAGUGGUUUAUCCGAGGUCCCCUGGGACACUCGGACAGAUCCUAUUAAGUUAUCGGGCACACAUGCAUAGCUGUUUGAGGUCUUUGAGAUAAGGAUAGGUGUAUGUGGGUCAUAUAAUUUGGGAGGAUCCACCACAACUACACCCACUUAAGAUACCCGAUUGGAAGUGGGAAGAGAUUGGUAUGGAUUUCAUUACUAGAUUGCCUCGCACCUAGAAAGGAUAUGACUCUAUAUGGGUGAUUGUGGAUAGAUUGACUAAAGUAGCCCAUUUCAUUCCUGUCAAGACUACUUAUAAAGGUUCUCAACUAGCAGAGUUAUAUAUGACCCGGAUUGUGUGUUUACAUGGAGUGCCAAAGAAGAUCGUGUCUGAUCGAGGUCCACAGUUUACCUCAAGAUUCUGGAGAAGCUUUCAUGAGAAUAUGAACACCAAGUUGAACUUUAGUACUGCCUAUCACCCUCAAACUGAUGGACAGACUGAAAGGACUAAUCAAGUAUUGGAAGAUAUGUUGAGAGCUUGUGCCCUUCAGCAUGGAGGAAGUUGGGAUAAAAUUCUACCAUAUGCUGAGUUCUCAUAUAAUAAUAGCUAUCAGGCCAGUCUGAAGAUGUCACCUUUUGAAGCUUUAUAUGGCAGGAAAUGCAGGAAUCCACUAUAUUGGGAUCAGACUGGAGAAAGACAGUUCUUUGGGCCUGAACUGAUUCAAGAGGCAGAAGAACAAGUCCGUAUAAUCCGGGAGAAUUUGAGGGUAGCUUAGACUAGACAAAAGAGCUAUGCUGAUAAUAGAAGAAGACCACUGGAAUUUGAGGACGGAGAUCAUGUAUACCUCAAAGUGUCACCACUUCAUGGAAUGAGGAGAUUCAAAGUCAAGGGAAAAUUGUCCCCUCGCUUUAUUGGACCAUUCAGAGUUUUUAAGCGAGUUGGGGAGAUGGCAUACCAACUCGAGUUACCUGAUAGUCCUAUCUGAUGUGCACAAUGUAUUCCAUGUGUCUCAACUGAAGAAGUGUCUCUGUGUCCCUAAGGAACAGUUGCCAAUGGAAGAGCUCAGUGUUCAGGGUGAUCUAACUUACACGGAAUAUCCUAUCAAGAUUCUUGACACUCUGACUCGAGUUACAAGAAAUAAGGUUAUAAAGAUGUGCAAAGUACAAUGGAGUCACCAUGGAGAAGAUGAAGCAACAUGGGAAAGAGAAGAAGAGCUCCGCAUAGAUUUUCCCUAUCUUUUCCCUAGACUUUCUUAAAUCUUGAGGACGAGAUUCUUUUUAAGGGGGUAGGAUUUGUAAUACCCAAUUUGUAAUAGAUAAUAAAAGAGGAGAAAAGUCAUUUCCUAUAUUUUAUGUGUGUGUUGAAUCUACUUAUCAUCACAUGUGAACACCAUAUUCAAAAACAAAUAACUAAUAAAAAGAUAUGCCACUAAAUUAUGCAUCAAGCCAAGGUUUUAUUUUGUGAGCAUUUUAUGAAAAUAUAAAAAUAAUGUAAAAAAAGAGAAAUAUGUUAAAUAUCCAAAUGGGGAUUUAAAUCCUAAAGAAAAUCCUAGAAUUGAGAAAAAGAGAAGAAAACACUAUACAAACAGGAUAAAAUAAAAAUAUAAAUGAACAAAAAUUCAGUGCAUAUUGUUAUUUAGAUAUAGACAUUUAACCUGAAUUUGAACUUCACACACAUAGAUUCAAACUUAAAAUUUAAAUUUAACGGAGAAGAGGGAUAAGAAGAAAAGAAAAUAUAAAAGAAAAGGGAGAAGAAACCUAAUUGGGCCUCGUCACGCGUUUUGGCCCAUCUGCAGAAACGUGCGCGCGCGUCCCAUUACCUCGCCUGCCCACCCGCCGCUGCGCGUUGACAUGUGGGCCAGCCCGCGCAGUCACUCAUACCUCACCCUCUCACUGGCUCUCGGGCUUGCGGUCAGCCUCUUCCCUCGCUCGCGGUCCAGCAACCACGCCCGCGCGGCCGCACGCUUCGACCACUGCCCGUUUGGGCCCGCUCGUCAGAUGGCCUGGCUGCUUCACGCGCCGUUUUGUCGCCGAUUAGUGGGCCCGAGCUACAUGGCUCCGUCUUCCCUGCGCGGUUGGGCGCAACAGCCUGGCCGAGCUCGGCGGGUCUCGCCCACUAGAACCGGACCACGUUGACCACAUAGGGGAUGCAUAAAAGGCUCGGUCGUCGACUCAAUCCACUCGUCCCCUUUCCUCUCGCCUUUCCUACAGCAAACGCAAGAAUUUCUCGCUGCUGCGGAAGGAAUCGGGGCCGCCACUUGUGAACCUCAGACUGUCGUCGACCGCGCCCUCGAAGUCUUGCCCGAGAGCUUCCUUGGAGUGGGGGAAAACUUCAUUUGGUGCCGCUGAUCAGGAUUGCUCGCCUGCGCACUGGCAAUUUCUCACCGCGCUCCUUCCACUGUGGAAUCGCCCUCGUCGUGGACAGCAUUGUUCCGACCGCCAUUAUUGGUGAGCACACUCCCCAAUUGCCUCAUGCUGUUGUCCUCCCCGUGAAUCAUUGUUCGAAUCGAAGAGUAGCCAUUAGAAUCGUAGAGCGCGCGGGGUCCGGCAAUGGUGCCGUCGCGUUCCGCGGGCGGUGAUGAACAGUGGGUAGAACACGUAUGGCCCUCGACUUCGCGAUGUGCGGCUCUUAUUAGGUCUGGGUAUGACGUUUCACUGGUAUGGAUUUCCCACCGUGGAUCUGUGAUCGUAUGGUGGACGGGCGGGUCGUGUUUCAUUAAAUCACGGCCAAUGAUCUCGGAUCUAACGGAUUUAGCUGCUUACCGAUUCGGCGAAAUGCGGAUCUAAAGAGUGCCGCUGAUAUCUAAUCAAACGGCCGAGAUUGGCGCGUACCUCUUCGCGAUGGCCAUUUCAUUAAAGAGACCCUAACCUCUCUAGAAAUCAACCCGCAGUACUACAAAUAGUGUUCUGAGUCUUGAAAUAACUUGCACAGAGGCCCCUGCUCUUCCCGUGCGCCCAGUCCAGAAGGUUAAGAAAAUCAGAUAAAAGAAUUAGAAAUUGAAUAUUUAAUAUGAAAAUAAAUGCUAGAAAUUGUAUAAUUCAUAGAAAAUUCAUAUGAACUCCAAAAUAACCCAUUUCAGUUUCGAAAUUUUUGUCAUAUUAUUCUCUAUCACUUAGAAUCUCUGUUUUGACAUGAAAACAAUAAGAAAAAUAAUUUCUCACUUAAUCCUAUUUCAAGCACAUAAAACCUUUGGAAAUUCAUAAAUUAAAAUCUAUAACUCCAAAAUUAAUGAUUCAUGUUCCCAUAAUUUUAUUUUAAUGUAUAGAUUAUUAUUAUAUAUUUUGUUUACAUGUUUGGUGUGAUGUUAAUUUUCUCUAUAUACUGUGCUUGUUUGUAUUGUGGCGAGUAGAAGAACCUGUGACUGAGGAUCCUGGUGACUAGCAGAUAGAAGUAGCUAAGCAGGAGCUCAUUGAAGGCAAGUUGUGCCCUUGAUCCACUUUUGUUACCCAAUAAUAUUCUUUAUUAUCAUUAUUCAAUGCAUAGGUUUAAUUGAUGGGACCCAAUAGGUCACCCUAGACUAUUUAUCUCUUUACCUUGUUUACCCCUGAAUCACUUGGGUAGUUUUAGCUACUGCUUUACAUGGUUUUGGGAUAAUAUUUUAUUGCAUCUAUGUUCCAAUUAUUUUGUUAUUCUAUUUAUGUUCAUGUCAAGAUCAUUAAUGUUAAUUGGAACAUGGAGCUUAACUUGAGAAACACGUGCCACCACAAGGGUUUAAUGGGACGCCCUUGGCUGACUAAUUAGGAAAGCUAGUGGAAGACUAUCUUACUCGAAAGGGGCAAGGGCAGUAGGAGAGUUGCAUGCAAGAAGGUUCUCGGGUUGAUUUUGCUGCGAUGGUGGUCAGACGGGGGAUUCUUACAAGUACUAUUCCCAUAUACUAUAGCGGGUUUUCGGAAGCUAGUGGAACUUUGUAAAGCUCUCGUAGUGUUACCCUGCCUCGUUUCCUUGAUAGAGGUGUAUGGGGCCCAUACAACCCCGUGGUAGAUGGACCCAUGGCAGAUGGGUAACAUGACUUGUGGGUAAAGGGUACAACCUCUGUAGAGUGUAAAACUGGUAUACUAGCUGAGCUCACGGUCAUGAGCAACUCAGGACUCUCGCAUGAUUAAUUUAUGGAACUUAAAUUCAAUUUGUCAUUUGCAUUGCAUGGGAUUAUUAUUAAUUUUGUUCUAUUACUUUAUUUAAGGUUUGGUAUUAACUUACAUCUAGUAACUGAUAAUAAAACUUUGACCAACUAAUUAAAAGCAAUGCUCAGCUUUAACCCCUGUUGUUGAUUAGGCUUACACAUCACAUGAACUCCCACCUUUGGUGAGUUCAUGCCCACUGGUUUUCCUCACAACUUGUUGAGCUAUGAUCAUGUGUGAGCUCACCCUUGCUGUCUCACACCCCCACAGGAAAAAGAACAAGUGGUUCAGGAGAAGCCACAAAGCGAGGAGUUUGAUCUGAUCUAGGUGGCAUUUCCCAGUUGACAUUAGCGCCAAGGAUGAUCCUUAGUUCAUUUUAUAUUUAUCUUUUAUUUUGUAAUAAGACUUCCGCUAUGUAAUAAAUACUCUGAUGUUUUUAAGACAUUAUCUCUAUACACUCUGUUAUUAUAUAUGUUGUCUUCUUGGCGCAUGUAUGAAAUGCACCUGGCUUUGUUCCUUAAAGCCCGGGUGUUACACUUUGACUAUUUACAAAAGAUUUUGAAAGGAUUUUUCCAAAAGAUUUGCAAAAACAAAUAAGUGGUGCAAAUGUGGUCCAAAAUGUUAAAUAAGAGAAAAGCAAUCCUGUCGGCGUUUCGAGACCGGGGGGUCCCCGAGCCGACGAGUGAAUGCGCUGCGUGCCCCAGCCCAGAUGGGUCGAGCGCGUGGGCGAGCGCGAAGG
rnacentral:lncRNA from 1 species